GAAAUGCGAUAAGUAAUGUGAAUUGCAGAAUCUCGUGAAUCAUUGAAUCUUUGAACGCACAUUGCGCCCUAUGGUAUUCCGUAGGGCAUGCCUGUCUGAGCGUCAGCUCGUCUUCUCAAGCUCUUUUGCUUGGAUAACAUUGGAACAGCAAUGCAAGCUCCAUUCGGGGUCUGUGUGCUCUCCAGAAAUCAAUAGGCGGUACGGUUCUAGCAAAAACCUGACGUAAUAAUAUUUUUAUCUAUCGUUGAUUUGUUUAAACUGUUGCUUGCCUCUUAAUCCACAUCUUUCUUCAAGAUGACCUCAGAUCAGGUAGGGAUACCCGCUGAACUUAAGCA
rnacentral:misc_RNA from 1 species